rnacentral:rRNA from 1 species
UACGUAGGGUGCGAGCGUUAAUCGGAAUUACUGGGCGUAAAGCGUGCGCAGGCGGCCAUGCAAGACAGAUGUGAAAUCCCCGAGCUCAACUUGGGAACUGCAUUUGUGACUGCAUGGCUAGAGUACGGUAGAGGGGGAUGGAAUUCCGCAUGUAGCAGUGAAAUGCGUAGAUAUGCGGAGGAACACCGAUGGCGAAGGCGAGCCCCUGGACAUGUACUGACGCUCAGGCACGAAAGCGUGGGGAGCAAACAGG